GACGAACGCUGGCGGCGUGCUUAACACAUGCAAGUCGAACGGAAAGGCCCCCUUGUGGGGUACUCGAGUGGCGAACGGGUGAGUAACACGCGAGUAACCUACCCUUGACUUUGGGAUAACUUCAGGAAACUGGGGCUAAUACCGGAUAGGAGCUCCUGCUGCAUGGUGGGGGUUGGAAAGUUUCGGCGGUUGGGGAUGGACUGGCGGCUUAUCAGCUUGUUGGUGGGGUAGUGGCUCACCAAGGCUUUGACGGGUAGCCGGCCUGAGAGGGUGACCGGCCACAUUGGGACUGAGAUACGGCCCAGACUCCUACGGGAGGCAGCAGUGGGGAAUAUUGCACAAUGGGCGGAAGCCUGAUGCAGCAACGCCGCGUGCGGGAUGACGGCCUUCGGGUUGUAAACCGCUUUCGCCUGUGACGAAGCGUGAGUGACGGUAAUGGGUAAAGAAGCACCGGCUAACUACGUG
rnacentral:rRNA from 1 species